rnacentral:rRNA from 1 species
CCUACGGGAGGCAGCAGUGGGGAAUAUUGGACAAUGGGCGCAAGCCUGAUCCAGCCAUGCCGCGUGAGUGAUGAAGGCCUUAGGGUUGUAAAGCUCUUUUGCCAGGGAAGAUAAUGACUGUACCUGGAGAAUAAGCCCCGGCUAACUUCGUGCCAGCAGCCGCGGUAAUACGAAGGGGGCUAGCGUUGUUCGGAAUCACUGGGCGUAAAGCGCACGUAGGCGGACUUUUAAGUCAGGGGUGAAAGCCUGAGGCUCAACCUCAGAACUGCCCUUGAUACUGGGAGUCUUGAGUAUGGUAGAGGUUGGUGGAACAGCAAGUGUAGAGGUGAAAUUCGUAGAUAUUUGCUAGAACACCAGUGGCGAAGGCGGCCAACUGGACCAUAACUGACGCUGAGGUGCGAAAGCGUGGGGAGCAAACAGGAUUAGAUACCCUGGUAGUCCACGCCGUAAACGAUGGAUGCUAGCCGUUAGCCAGCUUGCUGGGUAGUGGCGCAGGUAACCCUUUAAGCAUCCCGCCUGGGGAGUACGGUCGCAAGAUUAAAACUCAAAGGAAUUGACGG